CACAAUCCUCUCUUUAGUCAUCAAAAUGCGGACUGGAUAGUUGAUACCAUCCACGAACCUCCUAAUCCUCUCCCGAUCUAUCGAGAUCCUCCAAGUAGCAUGCCGAGCUAGCUGAGUAAAUCUCAACUCAUACUGGGUCACAAUCAUGUCCCCCUGAACCAACCACUAAAACUGAUGAUGCAGCUCCUCUAGUGAGAUUGCGGUACAUAUUUCUCCAUAAAGAGAGUGGAGAACUGCUACCAAGUAAGCGGCGCUGCACCAACAGGCCUACGCCUCUCAAAC
rnacentral:lncRNA from 1 species